AUACGGAGGAUCCGAGCGUUAUCCGGAUUUAUUGGGUUUAAAGGGUGCGCAGGCGGCCAUUUAAGUCAGCGGUUAAAUCGUGGGGCUCAACCCCAUUCUGCCGUUGAUACUGGGUGGCUUGAUUGCGGUCGAGGUUGGCGGAAUUCGUUGUGUAGCGGUGAAAUGCAUAGAUAUGACGAAGAACACCGAUUGCGUAGGCAGCUGACCAGACCGCAAAUGACGCUCAUGCACGAAAGUGCGGGGAUCGAACAGGAUUAGAUACCCUGGUAGUCCGCACAGUAAACGAUGAAUACUCGCUGUUUGCGAUAUACAGCAAGCGGCCAAGCGAAAGCGUUAAGUAUUCCACCUGGGGAGUACGCCGGCAACGGUGAAACUCAAAGGAAUUGACGGGG
rnacentral:rRNA from 1 species